UAUCUCUGUAGAGUCUGCAUAUCAAUAAGCGGAGGAAAAGAAACUAACAAGGAUUCCCUUAGUAACGGCGAGUGAAGCGGGAAGAGCUCAAAUUUGAAAUCUUCAAGGUUCUACCUUGACGAAUUGUAGUUUAAAGAAGUGUUUUCUGUUAGAUGAGUAGCAAAAGUUCCUUGGAAUGGGACAUCAUAGAGGGUGAGAAUCCCGUAUUUGGUUAUUCAUUCUAGCUUUGUGAUACACUUUCAAAGAGUCGGAUUGUUUGGGAAUGCAGUCCAAAAUGGGUGGUAAAUUUCAUCUAAAGCUAAAUAUUGGCGAGAGACCGAUAGCGAACAAGUACCGUGAGGGAAAGAUGAAAAGAACUUUGAAAAGAGAGUUAAACAGUACGUGAAAUUGUCAAAAGGGAAGCGUUUGACACCAGUGUUGUUUUUCCGAAAAUCAAUUACGAAUGGCUUGAUUUUGUGUUGUAUUGACCUUAUCAGCUUUCUGCACUUUUUUCGAGUCUUUCUUAAUGCACUUUUUGGUUAACAAGUCAACAUCAAUUUCUUUUGUUGUAAAAGAGUAUUCGGAAGGUGGCUUUCUUUUCGGAGAAAGUGUUUAUAGCCCUAUACUUCUACAAUCGGAGAGAUUGAGGUCUGCAGCGUAGAUCCUUCGGGGUUAGAUACACUUGUGCUAAGUUGUAGCUUUUCAUAGACAACUUGUUGACUAUGUUUAGUCAUGCGGCUUACUCGCUUGUGCUAUUUUACCUACGCUUAGGAUGUUGACUGAUAUGUAGUCGUA
rnacentral:rRNA from 1 species